AUGAAUGAGGAAGUCGUACAAUGGCGUUUCACGGGUUUUUAUGGUCAUCCGAACUGGUGCGAUCGCAAUUUAUCUUGGGAGGAUAUUCGUAAUUUGUAUCAUAAGGGUAAUCAUCCAUGGGUGGUUCUAAGAGAUUUCAAUGAGAUUUUAUAUUCCUUGGAGAAAGAGGGGGGCAAUGGGAGACCAAAUGGAAUGAUGAAGGAUUUUCGUGAUUGUCUAGCAGAAUGUGGCUUGGAUAAUAUGGGGUUCAUAGGCGACCCCUUUACAUGGAGGAGAGGUGAGAUUAGGGAACGUCUUGACCGUGCAGUAUGUAAUGUACAAUGGGCGCAUAAAUUUCCUCGGGCAGCUGUGAUUAAUGAAAACCAUGUACAUUCUGACCACCAGCUGUUAGUU
rnacentral:rRNA from 1 species